rnacentral:tRNA from 1 species
GUCCCCAUAGCUCAACAGGACAGAGCAGCAGUUUCCUAAACUGCGUAUCCCCGUUCAAGUCGGGGUGGGGAUA